rnacentral:lncRNA from 1 species
UGGAGGAGGGCGUUCUGUUCAUGCUCACUGGAGAACGCAAAGCACCGCUGGUCUGAGUUUCCGCAGGUGAUAAUGUGGGCGGCUCACGUUCGCAGCUUUGAAAAGUGGGCCACACCUGCCGACAGCUGGGUAAUAUGACCAAAUUCACCAUGGUGUGUGUGUGUGUGUGUAUUUUUGUGUUUUAACCAUAGGGGAGCAAUGAGGGCAAUCCUGGGUGAGAAAAGGACAGACGGAGGAACCGGGUCCGGUGAGAGAAGCAACAAAGGGGAGGUUAAAAUGUGGACAGCGAUACUGAGCAAAAAAGAAGGGCGUCUCUGGACAUCAGGAGCAGAACGACAGAUCCGGAGGGAGGGAAGAGCGGGAAUGAAGGCUCGCUGACAGGGUGUCUGGGUGACAGGCGCUAAUCAGACACCGCUGGUGUGUUGUUUUUCCGGGUGACAGGAGAGAAGCCCACGCCUAAACCUGGUGUCACUGCAUACCGGUCACAUGUCAGACACCCGACAGGACUGGCCUGUCACCGAUGAAGAAUACUAUAGUACGUCGCCGGCAUCAGAAAGGAAGCGGGCUGUUGUCACCUAGGAGACCAAUUGCCGGCAGUCAAAGGACGGCGUGGAACAAUGCCCGUCUGAGCGCACUCAUAAGACCCGCAUUCAUGUUGGUUUGUUCCUCCCCUUCAGAUAUGACAUCCACAUUGUUCCUGCAUCUUUAUAUCUUUUUUUCACCCUGUUCCCACAGAGAAACAGAGGUCCCAACCUUCAGAGAACAGGCAGAGGAGACAGCCAAGGGGAGAUAAAGACUUGUUGAGAUGUAGCACACUGCGAACGUCAACGUCCCUCAUGAGUGCUAUCUCCUCGGCACAGGUUCAGACAGCCACAUGCAUUUUUCUAUCCUCGUAUUACUUUUUUUUUUUAUUUAAAUCUAGCUUUUCAGCAAGCCACCAUGACCACUUGGUGGUUAUUAUGAGUGCUGAGUUUUUAUGUUCCGAGUUAAAGGUGCAAUGUGUAGGAUUUGGCCACAUGACAUUAUUC